rnacentral:rRNA from 1 species
GGAUCUGCGGUGGGUACGGGCAGACUAGAGUGCAGUAGGGGAGACUGGAAUUCCUGGUGUAGCGGUGAAAUGCGCAGAUAUCAGGAGGAACACCGAUGGCGAAGGCAGGUCUCUGGGCUGUAACUGACGCUGAGGAGCGAAAGCAUGGGGAGCGAACAGGAUUAGAUACCCUGGUAGUCCAUGCCGUAAACGUUGGGCACUAGGUGUGGGGGACAUUCCACGUUUUCCGCGCCGUAGCUAACGCAUUAAGUGCCCCGCCUGGGGAGUACGGCCGCAAGGCUAAAACUCAAAGGAAUUGACGGGGGCCCGCACAAGCGGCGGAGCAUGCGGAUUAAUUCGAUGCAACGCGAAGAACCUUACCAAGGCUUGACAUGAACCGGAAUGAUGCAGAGAUGUGUCAGCCACUUGUGGCCGGUUUACAGGUGGUGCAUGGUCGUCGUCAGCUCGUGUCGUGAGAUGUUGGGUUAAGUCCCGCAACGAGCGCAACCCUCGUUCCAUGUUGCCAGCGGGUUAUGCCGGGGACUCAUGGGAGACUGCCGGGGUCAACUCGGAGGAAGGUGGGGACGACGUCAAAUCAUCAUGCCCCUUAUGUCUUGGGCUUCACGCAUGCUACAAUGGCCGGUACAAAGGGUUGCGAUACUGUGAGGUGGAGCUAAUCCCAAAAAGCCGGUCUCAGUUCGGAUUGAGGUCUGCAACUCGACCUCAUGAAGUUGGAGUCGCUAGUAAUCGCAGAUCAGCAACGCUGCGGUGAAUACGUUCCCGGGCCUUGUACACACCGCCCGUCAAGUCACGAAAGUUGGUAACACCCGAAGCCGGUGG